AAUAUAUUAACAUAUAUAUUAUGAAAAAAUGCGCUCUUGAAUAAUUGAAGCUUAUAAAACAUUUAUAGCUACGACACGUUUCCAACAAGAAUGCAACAAAUAAAAUGUCAUAUCAAGUGCAUAUGUCUGUGUGUGUGUAUUUGUGUGUGUGCUGCUGGUAAAUGCUUUAAUUAAAAGCCAGGCAUAAACAAAACGCGUCAUUUGGAUUAUCAGUGGCAACAAAAACUGUAGCAGAGCACCGAAUACGGACUUGGCUCAACGAAGCAGCUGUCAAGCUCUUUAAAAAUUUAAAUUUGAACAAGAGAACCCACUACAAUCCCAUUAACUGCAGACAUUAGAGGCAAACCAAAAAAAAAAAAAAGGAAAAAAACGUAAAGAAAUAUCGAAGAAAAUUCGAAAAAUUAAAGCAGCAGCAGAUAAAAGAAGGCACUUUGAUUGCAACAUAAAAUUGCCACAGAAAAUUGCAUAAAAUUGCAAAAAAAAAAAAAAAAAGGAGAUCAAGAGAAAGGGAGAUAGUGAGAGACAGGCGAAAAAAUACGAAGAUAGUCGCAUCUAAACGGGGUCAGUAAUUUGCUGCACGAUUGCCAGCCGAGCCAACCAGCCAACGAACUGGAAGUUUAAUUGCCACGGCUCUCAUUGUUGGCGUUGCUGUUGCCGUCUGAAGCGAAUGCAACAAUUAAAGCCAAAAACUUUUUGGACAAAAUGCUGCUGCCAACGCCCUGCCCCCAACUAGCUGAGCAAAUCCAUUGGCAACAACAUUUGUGCAGGGCAUAAGAAACAAACGGAGCACGCACUAGCAACAGACAAACAAACAAGCUCCCACUAUAGCCAGCAGGAGUAUCUUGAGAAGUAGCCGAACAGCGCAGCAGGAGCAGGAGGCGUGGCAGCAGAAGCAAAGCUUCAAAAUUGUCUGCUUCUAAUUUGAAUGGACUCAACAGCAUUCGACAUACAAAUGCAUAUUUGGAAACUUUUGUUAAUUGGUAAGUGACAAUGCUUCGACUUCUUUUUACGCUUCAAUGAAAGGGAAAUCUUGACCCAGUCGCCGGCCCAGUUAGCCAGUUAGCCAGAAGUUGGCUCAGGCACCAAAUAAGAAUGCUAAUUUUCAACUUUCAAUGCGCUGCA